rnacentral:sRNA from 1 species
GGCUCCUAAUACUGAUAUUGCAACACGUUCUCUAGUGGUUACUCUUAAAUCUAUUGCUCAAAAGACCUCCCUUGAAAUAUCUGGCAUUACUGGCAUAUCUGUUUGUACAAUCAAUCUUAUAUAUGCCCAUGCAAUCAAACAAGGAUUUGAUCCAAAUACUCAAUCUAUUGUCAUUAAUGAUAUCUAUCUCAAAGAUGCUCCUUGCUCUGGCAGACCUUUCAAACAGACAUCUGAAGUUCAACAACAGAUUAUAUCCAAGAUGUGAACUGAUCACUACAGCUGUGAGAAAACCUGUGCUGAUAUUGCAGAUGAACUCAGUCAAGAAGACUUCAAUAUUUCAGUCAAAAC